CUUAAAGAGUGCUAAAUAGUAAUGCUCUCCUUCAACUCAUUUUCAGCUCAUAUAAGUUUUUUUUCCUCAAGUUCUGUUUAUUGUAGCCUGAGGCUAAAAAUAUUUUCUAAAAGAUCUAAAGGAAAUGUUUUCUUCCAACAUAAUAUUCUGUGCAGUGCAGAAAGUCUUUUCUUUUUCAUUUUGGCCUAACAGAUUUUAUGGUUUAUCAAAACAAUUCCUAUGCCAUUAAGUUUUGGCUCACUUAGGAGAAAAGCUGAGAUGAUUUUUUUUAAUUAAGGUUAUUACCUCCGUGUAUCUUUCUGUAUGUUCUUUUAAAGUACUUGUGACAUUGAGUUACAGGGCUUUGACUCCCGGGCCUAAAAAUGACAUCAAGUCCUGCUAAAUAUUAAACACUGACAGCAACUAAAGCCUCUUCUUCAGGCCCAGUAGAAGAUGCCAAUCAAAAUAAACUGCAUUCCUGAAACAUAGGGCCAGAAAUUAAAGUUAUUCAACUCCUCAAGGCCCAGGGACUAUUGCAAAAGAGGUGGGCAUGUGAGAUUGUAAGGGCCGAUUUAGUUUCUCUAUAAAUUAAUCAUUAACACCAAAAGCACACUGAAGCAACAUCAGCAUAUGGGCCCCUGUGUCAGAUUAACAAAGUUUUCUUGAAGCAGUAACCAACUUCUUAAUAAAGGAUACAAAGUUUAUAAAAGGCUUAUGGAAGUUAUAUUGUAACUGCCCAAUGGGUUCACCUUGCCCACUGCCUAGACAGAGCCAAUUUAUCAAGAUGGGAAUUGCAAUAGAGAAACAGUAAUUCAUGCAGAGCCAGCUGUGUGGGAGACUGAAGUUUUAUGAUUACUUAAGUCAGUCUCUCCAAGUAUUUGUGGAGCAGAAUUUUUAAGGAUAAUUUGGUGAAUAUGGGGGAGGCCAAUAAAUUAAAAGUGCUGAGGGGUUGGGUUGGAAAUGAAAUCAUGGAAAGUUGACGCUGUCCUCUUGCACUGAGUCAGUUCCUGGGUGGGGGCCCCACGAUCAGAUUCACCAGUUUAUCAAUCUGUGUGGUGCCAACUGAUCCAUCAAGUUCAGGUCUGUAAAAUAUCUCAAGCACUGAUCUUAGGAGGAGUUUAGGGAGGGUCAGAACUUCCAGCCUCCAGCUGCAUGGCUCCUAAACCAUAAUUUCUAAUCUUGUGGCUAAUUUGUUAGUCCCAUAAAGGCAGUCUAUUCCCCAGGCAAAAAGGAGGUUCAUUUUGGGAAAGGACUGCUAUCAUCUUUCUUUUAAACUAUAAACUAUGAACUAAGUUCUUCCCAAAGUUAGCUCAGCCUAUGCUCAGGAAGGAACAAGGACAGCUUAAAGGUUAGAAGCAAGAUGGAGUCAGUUAGGAUAGAUCUCUUUCACUGUGUCAGUCAUAAUUUUGCAAAGGUAGUUUCAAUAUCUUAUGGUCAAGAUUAAAAUUUUAUAGAUUGUUUAUAAAAUUUUGAAAAACAAAUUUAAUUGGCUUUAUGCUGUCUUUAUUGGGGCUUAUUGUAUAGAAAAUUAAGUCUCCUCUCAAAGAAUGAAGAUUUUUGCCUUUUUUUUUUUAAAUCCUCGAGUUAUGACUUUGGUCAAAUGAAUAACUUAUUUUAUAAUGACCUGUGAUAUCAAGUGUUUUAAACCUUUGAUAUUUGAUAACCUUUCAAAAAUCAAAUUAGAAAUUGUGUCUUUUUCUGAUCUAGUUAAUCAUUUAAGAUAUUAGUUUCCCUAAAUUCAAAACAUGACAUAAUUUGGCUUAUUUGGUAUAAAAUUAUACAGUAAGCACUGUCAAAUAUGAAAUGGUGUUUGGUUUUCUUUGGGUUGUAUUUGUAUAAAUGUAUUAUUGAUAUGUGUUCCAAAAUCAUGGGAAACACCUAUAAUCCUGUAAUCCUGAUAUGACUUAGUGUACAUCAUCAGUAAUAAUUAUAACUAUUAUGUUAAAUUAUUAUGUGCCACAGAGGUAACAAAUUUUCUGGUCAGUUUUGUCUUUGACUAUGCCUGCCCUAAAACAUUUUGUCAUCCAUGGACAAUUGGUGCCUUGUUUGGUCCUCCUUAGAAGGUGGUUUCAUAAUCAGUUAUAAAACUCUAAUAGGUGCUUUUGAAUGCAGAUUUCUGAUAACUUUGAGAGGGAAAACUUUCAGGACUCAUGGGGAGCUGAAAUGUUCAUGAAUAUUAAGCAGAACAGGAAUUUACUACAGAGACUGAACUAACAGAAAACUGAAGUAUCUUUUUAUAUUUUUGCUUAAAAUGUUGCUGACCCUCUGUUUUUUUUUUUUUUCAGAGUCAAGGAAACUUUUAUUUUGAGCUAUUGUAAGGUUUCAACAAUUUAGUAUACUCCUAUGAAGAAAAUUUGGAGCGUAUUUGUUUCUCUUUACCUGAUUUCUCCAGAAUUUGGAAACUAUUUGCGAGUAGUCUUAACUUACAGCAAUAUGGCUAUUUGCAUAAGUGCAAAUAAAAAUCUGUUAUAAUUUGUAACAGGACACAAUGGGAGAAACUGGUUAUUUUACCAAGGCUUUCACUGGAAUGAUGUGCUUUCCUUUAAGAAAUCAAACUUAACUUAUGGAGCCAAUAAAAACCCAUUGGGAAAACUGGCCUCAUACCUUGUUUACACAGCCCAUGUACAGGGUUCGUGACCUGGGCUAGGUGACUUUAACUCCAAUGUCUACCCUCAUAAAUUGAACAUUAUUGAAGGCCCACUUUCCAGUGUCAUGAGAAGGGAAGCACGAUCAUGAAAUGAGCAAAGAAGGCCAGAUAAUCUUUAGAGGUCCUACAAUCCAUAUUCCCAUAAUUGGCAUCUUUUUUGAAGAAAGUCAAUGAAAGAAAAGAAAAGUACAUAUUAAUUAUUUA
rnacentral:lncRNA from 1 species